CCUGGCUCAGAUUGAACGCUGGCGGAAUGCUUUACACAUGCAAGUCGAACGGCAGCACGGGUGCUUGCACCUGGUGGCGAGUGGCGAACGGGUGAGUAAUGCGUCGGAACGUACCGAGUAAUGGGGGAUAACGCGGCGAAAGUCGCGCUAAUACCGCAUACGCCCUGAGGGGGAAAGUGGGGGAUCGCAAGACCUCACGUUAUUCGAGCGCCCGACGUCUGAUUAGCUAGUUGGUGGGGUAAUGGCUCACCAAGGCGACGAUCAGUAGCGGGUCUGAGAGGAUGAUCCGUCACACUGGGACUGAGACACGGCCCAGACUCCUACGGGAGGCAGCAGUGGGGAAUUUUGGACAAUGGGCGAAAGCCUGAUCCAGCCAUUCCGCGUGAGUGAAGAAGGCCUUCGGGUUGUAAAGCUCUUUCAGCUGGAACGAAACGGUACGCGCUAACAUCGUGUGCUAAUGACGGUACCAGCAGAAGAAGCACCGGCUAACUACGUGCCAGCAGCCGCGGUAAUACGUAGGGUGCGAGCGUUAAUCGGAAUUACUGGGCGUAAAGCGUGCGCAGGCGGAUUAUUAAGCAAGACGUGAAAUCCCCGGGCUUAACCUGGGAAUGGCGUUUUGAACUGGUAGUCUAGAGUGCGUCAGAGGGGGGUGGAAUUCCACGUGUAGCAGUGAAAUGCGUAGAGAUGUGGAGGAACACCAAUGGCGAAGGCAGCCCCCUGGGAUGACACUGACGCUCAUGUACGAAAGCGUGGGUAGCAAACAGGAUUAGAUACCCUGGUAGUCCACGCCCUAAACGAUGUCAACUGGUUGUUGGGGGAGUGAAAUCCCUUAGUAACGAAGCUAACGCGUGAAGUUGACCGCCUGG
rnacentral:rRNA from 1 species